GAUGAACGCUGGCGGCGUGCCUAAUACAUGCAAGUCGAGCGAAUGGAUUAAGAGCUUGCUCUUAUGAAGUUAGCGGCGGACGGGUGAGAAACACGUGGGUAACCUGCCCAUAAUACUGGGAUAACUCCUGGAACCGGGGCCAAUACCGGAUAACAUUUUGAACGACAUGGUUCGAGAUUGAAAGGAGGCAUCGGUUGUCACUUAUGGAUGGACCAGCGUCGCAUUAGCUAGUUGGUGAGGUAACGGAUCACGAAGGCAACGAUGCGUAGCCGACCUGAGAGGGUGAUCGGCCACACUGGGACUGAGACACGGCCCAGACUCCUACGGGAGGCAGCAGUAGGGAAUCUUCCGCAAUGGACGAAAGUCUGACGGAGCAACGCCGCGUGAGUGAUGAAGGCUUUCGGGUCGUAAAACUCUGUUGUUAGGGAAGAACAAGUGCUAGUUGAAUAAGCUGGCACCUUGACGGUACCUAACCAGAAAGCCACGGCUAACUACGUGCCAGCCGCCGCAGUAA
rnacentral:rRNA from 1 species